rnacentral:rRNA from 1 species
AUUGAACGCUGGCGGCAUGCCUUACACAUGCAAGUCGAACGGUAACAGGUCUUCGGAUGCUGACGAGUGGCGAACGGGUGAGUAAUACAUCGGAACGUGCCUAGUAGUGGGGGAUAACUACUCGAAAGAGUGGCUAGUACCGAAUGAGAUCGACGGAGGAAAGCAGGGGAUCGCAAGACCUUGUGCUACUAGAGGGGGCGAUGGCAGAUUAGGUAGUUGGUGGGAUAAAAGCUUACCAAGCCGACGACCUGUAGCUGGUCUGAGAGGACGAUCAGCCACACUGGGACUGAGACACGGCCCAGACUCCUACGGGAGGCAGCAGUGGGGAAUUUUGGACAAUGGGCGCAAGCCUGAUCCAGCAAUGCCGCGUGCAGGAUGAAGGCCUUCGGGUUGUAAACUGCUUUUGUACGGAACGAAAAGCCCUGGGUUAAUACCCUGGGGUCAUGACGGUACCGUAAGAAUAAGCACCGGCUAACUACGUGCCAGCAGCCGCAGUAACAC